rnacentral:rRNA from 1 species
UACGUAGGGGGGCUAGCGUUGUCCGGAAUCAUUGGGCGUAAAGCGCGUGUAGGCGGCCCGGUAAGUCCGCUCUGAAAGUCGGGGGCUCAACCCUCGGAUGCGGGUGGAUACUGUCGGGCUUGAGUGCGGAAGAGGCGAGUGGAAUUCCUGGUGUAGCGGUGAAAUGCGCAGAUAGUCAGGAGGAACAUCAGUUGCGAAGGCAGACUCGCUGG